GUCACUUAAAUGUUGUUUAAAACCAUUUUGGGUACAUACAAUGAGAUAAACAACACAUCUGAAGAUAUUAAGCGUCUUUGAUAUACGAAAAAGAAACAAGGUAUGUAACUCAAACUUACCCGAUUUCACGGUAGAGUCCAGUUUUAUGCAAAUUUCUCAACCAACAUAUAAUCAAUCCAUUUCUAAAUAAUGGAAAGAAGAGUCAAUUACCUUUAAAAUGGUGUUCGAUAUGUUGGUAUAACUAUAUUGUCUUUAGACAAACAAGCAUAAUUCAAUGUCCAAUUCUCGUGUUUUUCUUUAGUCGGAAAGAGUACAGCAAAUUCAAAUCUUCAAUUUUCUCCGUGUAAACAGUACUAAUCACAGACCUAUUGAAGUUAUUUUAUGCUUCAGAGUACAGAUAAAUUUAUUCCAUUCCUUAAUAUCACAAAAAGACUAACAUCACAAUGUUAGAAACAACUGUAUCAGUCUUUAAAUUAAAUCCUCUUUAAAUUUCGUAGGCAGCCGGCCAUUUUACCGACAAGCGCCCAGAUGAUGUCAUUGACAUGUACAUUUAACAUCUUUGUACCGGCUUGAAUGUGAGCCACAAAAGCUUGGAUGGGUCAAAUACUCUUCUUUGGAGGUUGAUCAGAAACAUCUGAGCGCUGUCAGGAAAAUGUCAGCCUCAAACAAAAUUUUAAAGUGGAUUUUUUUUCUUUUUUGUAUAUCAAAGACAUUAAAUGUCUUCAGAUGUGUUGUUUAUCUCAUUGCAUGUACCCAAAAUGGUUUGAAACAACAUUUUAGUGACAAACAAUGAUUCAGAUACCUGUGGUCCAGAGUCUAUCACAGACACAUUAUUUACUUAUUCAAGUACACAAGCACUUUUCGGCCAUGUGAAUUGCAUUAAAAUAAUUGUGAUGGCCUCUAACUUUCAGGCCAUCACAUUUAUUUUAAUGUCAUUGAUGUUGUCGUUAUCAAUAUUUUUCGAGGCUAUCACAAUUAUUUUAAUGAUAUUCACUUUUUUGUUGUCAAUAUUUUGAAUUCAUUUUGCAUUUUACUUUUUUUCAUGAUAUUAGUAGACAGUGUUUUCAUAAUUGACAAUAAGAAAAUAGUUGCUGUGAUACACAAUUUGUAGAACUAGUUUUCUAAAUAGACAAAUUUUAUAGAUUUUUUUCAUGAUAUUAUUAAAAAAAUAUUGAUAGAUGAUACAACUAAAUAAACUAUCAUUUCAAAUGUAGGUUACACAUACCGUAGUCUAUCACUAAUUAUAAUCUGACCUGCUUCUUUAUUUCUUUAUCAAUAAUAUCUUCAAAAAUAAUUUUUCUUAUUGUCUAUCGUGAAAACGAGAUUUUUGUAAUUGUCUAUCAAAGAAAUUAGAUAUAGUGUCAAUUAUGAAAAUGUUUUUCUUUUUCUUAAUGUUAAUCAUAAGAAUAUUUUUUGUGUGUAUCAUUUACAUAAACAAAUAUUGUCUAUCAUAAGAAGUGUUUUCUUUCCUUAAUAUAUAUAUCUUAUUUAUUUUCUAUUAUAAAAUGAAUCUUCCAUACUGGACAUUAUUGUUCAUUUAACCAUUGUUUAUCUGCAAUCACAUGGCGUCAAGAUAAGUUUAAUGAAUAUUAAUAAUAAGGUAAUAAGUGAUAGUGAUUAUGAAAGUAAUUCUGAAAAGCAGGGGAGGAUUCAGGAUUAGAGAGGGCAUACCUAGGGGACGUACUCCCCCCCCCCCCAGGGUCCGCUAGAUGAAAGCAAUUUGUGGAGAAGUCAGAAAGAAAAUACUUCACAUCGGUGGCAUACAAGUAGUGGUGAUAUUGACUUCAUGGCAUAUCUUACACAUAUUCUAGGAUUGUGUUCUGCUACAAGACUGGAGAAAAUACUUUUUUUUCUCAGUUUUAUGGCAUGUAUGCUUUUCUUGUUUUCAACAAAUACCACAAGGAUGAUGGAUAUGUUUUCACCAGUAUCAGAAAUUGUUGGAAGGCGAGGAAACUGUUGUUUAUUUACGGAUGAAGAAACAUCAAGAGGACGUAAUUAAAGGAAGUUGCGCUGUUUGAUUUUGUUGUUUUUAUGAGUUCACGUCGCCUGCACAUGACAUUUGAAAGGAGUAGUUAAUUAAUUUCCACUCCUUUGAAAUAGAAAGCAAACUUUGACGAUUUUAGGGGUUGGGCAUGUGCCGGUUGUGCCCCCCCCCCCCCCCUGGAACUGCUUGCGUUAACAGUUGAUCAUUGCAAUUGCUCAUUGAUCUUGUGCAUAUUCAUUUAAUACUUCAAUGUGCCUGGCAACAAUCUGUGAUAGACUCCAGACUGAGAGCAAAAAUUAUUGAUUGGCAAUUUAAGCCAAUUCAAUUUAUUUCUGAUAGCCACUUGUUUGAUCAAUAUACUUUUCUUUAUAUUAUCAAAGAAUAUUUAUGAUGCAAAAAUCAAUAUAUCACACAAAAAUAUAUAUCAAUUGAUUUUGUUAAUAUGUACCUUCAAAUGUCUAUAAAAGAAAUGGUAUAUGAAAGGAUUAUUUUUGUAUGACAUACACAAAUAUUAAUUAAAAUAUUUCUUUGAUAGACACUAAAACUUCGUUUUAAAAGUACAUAUUAUAGAGCAUUUAAAGAUGCGGACAACAGUUUCAUAAUCAGGAUACUUUUAACACACAAUCUGUUUGCUCAGUAGCCUAUUCGACAUGCUAAAUAAUCUGUGAUAGACAACAGUUUCAACGUAUUUAUAAACGUUGCAUUAAAAUGAUAGACUCCUACAAAAGUAUCGAAUAUACUAUAAUAUAGUAAUAUUGCCAUUCCUUUUAUGACAUAAAAAGUUUAAAAAAAUAUCACGACAACGUGAACGACAUUAAUAAUUGUGAUGGCCUCGAAGCAGGCAAUAAUUAAGGAUAGACAACUGGGCCGACCGCGCCAAUCGGAACUCCUCGGCUAGUAUUAAGAUAUGGCCUCGGAUAUAAUAUCCCGGAACAACGGGUUUUCGACCGCCUAAGGAUUAUUUACAGUUUAAUCAUAAAUAAGUGAUAAUAAAAAAUAAAUGUUUGUGUGUACCAUUUAAAGCAAUCAUUCAUCUUUCAAAAAACAAAAAAAAUAAAAUCUGUUUCAAUCGUCUGUUGUUUACAUUUUGGAUCCAAAAUGGCGGCUGUCACAUGUUGUAUUUGACCUAGAUACAACAUGCUUUCGACCAUGACCUUUAACUAUACUUCGCAACAAAAGUUUGUGCACAAUAUUUUUUAUUUUAAUUUGUAUAACAUGUUUAGACUGUUUAAUGUAUUUUAUUUUAAGAAAUAGUAAUUAAAUAUUUACAUAUUUGCCAUACAGACACUUUUUAGUUACCUAUCACCACAAGAGAGGCAAAGGAAUGCAUAAUCCCUUCUAAUGGCUUUCACAAUGGUAUAAAAUGAUAAAUUCACCCAUCAUGAACCUUGUUAUCACUGGUCCAACUCUGAAUGAGCCUCAUAUGACCUGCCUAGGCUGCAAUAUGUAUAAGUUUAUGGUAACUGAGCGCCCAAAUGCAAUUCAAUAUAGUAACCUGUAGAUAAAUUUCAUUUAUUUUAGAAUAAGCAACAUACCAUAUUUUGAUGCGCUUUUAAUGUUGUGCACUAUACUAAGAAAACGAUAGGGCAUAGGUUUUAGGCUUUGGUAGAUAUAUAAGAUCUGGCAAACCAAAACAACACGAUUUUAAAGAAGUAUUUUACAUGUGAAAUCAUUUUAAACGAAGGGUCUAAUUUGGCAUUAAUUAAAAAUGACAAAUUGGUGUUGUUUCAAGUAUAACUGAAGUUUUUUUUAACACUUCCAUUCCCAUUCUUUUUCAAAUGAAGUUUUCUGACAGUUCUACUGUUAUGGUUAACAAUUGGAGCUUAUUUUUACCGGAAGUGACGCAAAAUAGAAGUGUUUUACACAUUUUCAGGAGGCGGUCGAAAAUAGGUUGUGGUCGAAAAUAGGUUGUUCCGGGACGGGUCGUAAGAAAAUAGUCCAUCAUGGCCGACCAAGAAGAUGUUCAAACAACCAACAGAUAUGUUAGUCCAAAGACAAAAUGAGGAGCGAACUUUUACCACUUAUUUGUGUAGAAGAGUAUGGUACCAGGGGUGCAGCUGACUCUCGAUUCCCAGCUUGUUCUAAUGAAAAAAGGCAGAUGAGGCACUGGAAUCCGAAUGUAAUCAAAAAUGCCAUUGUAUGAGGAUUGACCUGCAAUGCAUGGAAAUCAUCUAACACAACUGCAACGCCUACCUUGCAAAAAUGAGUGCAAGAUGGAAACAAAGCAUUCAGUAGAACAUCUUGUCAUCUCAAAUAUUUGAUGACUUACAUACUGAUGUGAAGUUGAAGAUAAACGUCAUCUGUUGGUCCGUGAUUAUUAAAUAAAUCCGAACAUAUAUUUUAAAAGGGUAAUAUGGUAAAGGAUUUAUCUACCCUUAAAGUGUUUUCCUAUAUUAUGGAGGGAAGAUAACUACAAAAACAGAAACAGAUGGCAUCGGCAGACCAAAUGAAGGAGAACUAUUUUGUUCAGUUCAAUUUUUAAGACUUCAGAAAAUCCGUUAAUAGGGCACAUCCUUUCAAAUGCCAUAUUGUAAACUGGGCUCUUUAAAAUGUGAAAAGGUGAAAGUGGUCUAGAGGAUAAGUCUCAAAUUCAAGGUUGUGAGUUCAAGACCUCCAAGAUACUUUCUCUUGACCUCAGGAAAAGGAUGCCCAUACUUGUUUCUACUUAGGCAACAGACUUAAGAGUGAUUUUGUAAGCUUCCAGCUUGCAUAGCAAUCUGAUAAGGCAUAAAAUAAGAUACUAGCUGACUUGCAAACAGUUUUUCCAUUUGUGUUGAUUUAUUUUUCAGUCUGUUGGAAUGUUUAUUAGAAGUGAUGCGAAUUGCUUACUGCAACCAAUAUUUAUUUUCUUUAUUAAGUUAAAUUUAACGAACACAUAACAUGACUUGUGAUUUUACAGAUGCAUGUUUAUUUCGUUGAUUGUAUGAGUUUAUUUUCUCAAAUGAUGUAAUAAAAGUUAUUCUGAAUGACUGUCCUUUUUUGUUUGAAGAAAAUGUGUUGAGGUUUUGGCAUAGCAUAGUGUCAUCAUCAUCAUCAUCAUUGUUGUGUACAAAUAAAACAUUCAAAACAAUGUAUUAAAAACCAAACUGUCAAGCCAAGUACUCAAAGAGGCACAAGAGACCGGUAAUAUAUUUAGACAAAUAAAAUGCAAAGAAAGAUCUAUAAUUCUGACACAUGGUAAUGCUUUAAAUAGUCCUCUCAUUGUGUGUUUAUGGUUAAAGUGGAGACAUACAGUAUUUUUUGUAAUGAAGACUUAAAUUUGUAUGGCAACUUAAAGCCAUAUAUGGGGAUUAAAAUAAAAUGCCAGAAAUAUUGUGAAGUCUCCCAAACGACUCAAUGCACUUAAAAGGGCUUGGCACAGAAAUGAAAGUAAAAAUGGGAGCAAAACCUAAUUUAUCAUUAAUUUUACAUUGGAUUGCAUACAGAUGGCUCUGUUAUUACUUUACUAAUAUUAAAAAUAAAAUUAAGAGACAUGUUGAUCCAAACUGUAAUUAUUCUUGUAUGCAUUUUAUGGAGUUGGACAUAAAAGAGUCAUUUGGUGGAGUGAUCUAAUAUUUGUUUAAGGCUUUUAUUAACAAAAAAAUGAAUCAGUUGAGUAUCUUAUCAGUUACUCUUUUGGUGUUGUUGUUUUUAAUAAAAAAAUGACAAUUUACUCAAAGAUACUGAGACUAAUAAUUAUAGAUUAAGACAAAUAUAAUGUGUAAGUAAACUUCUAAUGAGUGGGUUUUAUCCACAGCCUAGGAGGUAAAGUGAAGCAUCAUCUGCCUUGAACAAAUACAAUUUUAAGACAAGUUCUGUCGACUUAGUGCACCAGUCAAUUGUACCCCCCCCCCCCCCAAGGUCCGGGGGAAUACUGGGGUUAACCCGGGGAAAUGGGCCGUAUUUUUACCUAUCAGGUGGCCCUGCAGUGCUGGGUGAAUGAGGUGGUUUUAUCUUCGCUUAAAAUAUAGAGGGGAAUGGACCUUACCUAGAGUCCCUGGGGUGUGGGGGGGGAUUUUGCCAUUGGAUCGUCCGCGCAGGUUGGGGAUUUUAGCCGGGGUUGGCUGUACUG